CUGAUAUUAGCUAAGUGGUUACGCAACAGAAUCGAAAUCUGUUUGGACUGCGCAGGUUCGAAACUUGCCGAUCAAC